UACGUAGGGACCAAGCGUUGUUCGGAUUUACUGGGCGUAAAGCGCACGUAGGCGGCUUUGUAAGUUAGAGGUGAAAGCCCGGGGCUCAACUCCGGAAUUGCCUUUAAGACUGCAUCGCUUGAAUCCAGGAGAGGUGAGUGGAAUUCCGAGUGUAGAGGUGAAAUUCGUAGAUAUUCGGAAGAACACCAGUGGCGAAGGCGGCUCACUGGACUGGUAUUGACGCUGAGGUGCGAGAGCGUGGGGAGCGAACCGG
rnacentral:rRNA from 1 species